rnacentral:tRNA from 1 species
ACAUUUGUGGUUCAGUGUUAGAAUUCUUACCUUCCAUAUAGGAGAUCCAGGUUCAAUUCCUGACCAGUGCA